rnacentral:rRNA from 1 species
AUGAACCACCUUCGGGUGGGGAUUAGUGGCGAACGGGUGAGUAACACGUGGGCAAUCUGCCCUUCACUCUGGGACAAGCCCUGGAAACGGGGUCUAAUACCGGAUACUGACCUGCCAAGGCAUCUUGGCGGGUCGAAAGCUCCGGCGGUGAAGGAUGAGCCCGCGGCCUAUCAGCUUGUUGGUGAGGUAAUGGCUCACCAAGGCGACGACGGGUAGCCGGCCUGAGAGGGCGACCGGCCACACUGGGACUGAGACACGGCCCAGACUCCUACGGGAGGCAGCAGUGGGGAAUAUUGCACAAUGGGCGAAAGCCUGAUGCAGCGACGCCGCGUGAGGGAUGACGGCCUUCGGGUUGUAAACCUCUUUCAGCAGGGAAGAAGCGAAAGUGACGGUACCUGCAGAAGAAGCGCCGGCUAACUACGUGCCAGCAGCCGCGGUAAUACGUAGGGCGCAAGCGUUGUCCGGAAUUAUUGGGCGUAAAGAGCUCGUAGGCGGCUUGUCACGUCGGUUGUGAAAGCCCGGGGCUUAACCCCGGGUCUGCAGUCGAUACGGGCAGGCUAGAGUUCGGUAGGGGAGAUCGGAAUUCCUGGUGUAGCGGUGAAAUGCGCAGAUAUCAGGAGGAACACCGGUGGCGAAGGCGGAUCUCUGGGCCGAUACUGACGCUGAGGAGCGAAAGCGUGGGGAGCGAACAGGAUUAGAUACCCUGGUAGUCCACGCCGU